AGCUCCAAUAGCGUAUAUUAAAGUUGUUGCAGUUAGAACGCUCGUAGUCGGAUUUCGGGGCGUUCCGACCGGUCUGCCGAUGGGUAUGCACUGGCCGGAGUGUCCUUUUUGCCGGAGACCGUGCCUACUCUUAACUGAGCGGGGGCGGGAGACGGCACUUUUACUUUGAAAAAAUCAGAGUGUUUCAAGCAGGCAGCUCGCUCUUGCAUGGAUUAGCAUGGGAUAAUGAAAUAGGACUUUGGUGCUAUUUUGUUGGUUUCGAACACCGAAGUAAUGAUGAGAAGGGACAGUCAGGGGCACUCGUAUUCCGCAGAGAGAGGUGAAAUUCUCAGACCCGCGGAAGACGAACCACUGCGAAAGCAUUUGCCAGGGAUGUUU
rnacentral:rRNA from 1 species